UUUCAAGAAUGCUCCUAAGGCAAACAGCCUUGGAAGAUAGAUAUUAUGUUACUUUCUGGAGCAGAGCGAAGAUACUUUUAUUAUCCAGUAUAAUGUUUUUUCAAGGGCAAAUAUCAGACAGGUUAACUUGUAGCCAAAUAUAAAGAUUCAGUUUCUUUAAAUUUAGUAUAUAUUAUCUGUGAUACAAACACACUGCAUGCAUAGCUUUCACCGGGAUCACUCUAUAUCACUCCCACAGGACUUGUGGGACAGGAGAAACCAACAUGAAUAUGAAGUGCAUGCUGCUUGCUGGACUCUGUGAAUGGACAAAGAGCAAAGAAAACUUCAUGGGCAAUGGUGGUACAAACAGAGAGAGAAAAGGACACAUAGAGACACAGAGAAGGAGACUAUGUGAAGAUGGAGGAAGAGACUAAAGUGAUCCAGCUACAAACCAAGGUUUAUAACGCAAACUGUUAUAGGAACACCUUUCCCAAUCUUCUGGAAUGUAGGCAUGACAGGUGAUCACCUCAAAUUUACUGCCACUAACAACAUUCCACUGAAGAACUAAAAUGCAUGGAGGACUCCUGAAAUGUCUGCAUUCCAACUCGAGUGCCAGCUAUGUAUUAAAACUCAAGAUGACUUUGGGAGCUACACAUUGAAGACAGCAUAUUUUCUGCCGUAUUGGGUCUCUGAAUGACUACACUGAGCAUAGCACUUCGUCCUUACCCUCCCUACCACCACCAAUUGAUGUUUACAUGAGCAAAUAUAAACUAUUGUGGCAAACCACUGAAAUUCUGGGGCAUAUUUGUUUCAUCAGCUAUAGCUGCUAUAACUAUAUGACAUUGACAUGUAAUUAGGAUACUGCUGUUUCCAAAAACUGUCCCAGGUUAUCUAGUGGCAAAAUAUUUGGUAAAGCUGACUGAGAGUACUUGGGAAGCAGACUGUAUGUCUACCGAAACUACAGCUCUACUGGAAUAGACUGAGAAAGAGAAAGUCAAUGUUUGUUGAUUGUUCCUCGUAGUAUUUAGCAAAACUUUUGGAAAAGGAGAGGCACUUAAGACAAUAUCAGCUGGUUUGCAAGCCAAAAUAAAUCAAAACAGAAAACUCUCCAGAAAUUUGGAGACUUACAGAAUGGGAAAUUCCAGUAUUAACUAAUUCUAAUCUCAAAAGAGAAAAUUGUGAGUAUGAAAUGUCUGAGCUACAAGACCUAGGAAGACUCAGCCCUGUGGCAAAAUUUUUAAAUGUGAUUCUUGACUUCCAGUUUUGUGAUCCACAUGUAGCAGCUUGGAAGUCAUCACUGGAUCCUAACAAGUAAAAAGCUGAACAGGCUGAAAAAUCAACAACUCUUCUUGGAUCAGAAGAGAAGGGAGGACACAGAGCAAACGGUUGCCCCCACUAUUGGAGAGAGACACCCUAUGUUCUUCUUAACAAAGCCUGCCCUUAGGAGAAACUAAUUAACCAGAACCCAACCUACUGAGGUAUCAUCAGAGCCUAGCUGAGCUGGACGAAGGGAAAUACUCAACUCUAGUUCAUUCUAACAAUCCUGUUCACUUAAGGGAGGAGGAAAAAACUUAGAAACACUUGUGAAGUUCAGUCUAGAGGCAUAGACUCACUAAAAACCUGAGAUCUAAUCAUCGGUCUAUAGAACACUGAUCCUCCCUCACACACUUUGCCACUACGUUACUAGAGGACUAUUUACAUUCAGUUCCCUUUGCUGGUUCAUCAUGUCUGGCUAUCAAGAUAAAGCAGACAGAAUGCAAGAACAGAUGGGCAAUAUGAGCAGAGAGACAGAAAUCCUAAGAAAGAACAAAAAAGAAAUUCUAGAGAUCAGAAACCCUGUAAUAGAAAUGAAGAAUGUCUGUGAUGGUAUUACUAGUAGAACGGAUAUUCCUGAGGAAGCAAACUCUGAUCUUGAGGACAUAUGAACAGAAACUUUGAAGACUGAAAUGCAAACAGAACAAAGACUGAAAAAGACAGAACAGAAUAUUCAAGGACAGUGGGACAACUAUAAAAGGUAUAACACACAUGUAAUGGGAAUAUCAGAAGCAGCAGAAAAAACGACAGUAAAAGAAGAAAUAUUUAAAACAGUAAGGACUAAGAUUUUCCCAAAAUUAAUGUCAGACACCAAACUACAGAUCCUUGAAGCUCAGAGAAAAUCAACCUGGAUAAUGCCAAAAAACCCUCAAAAACAAAAACAAAAAAAUACACCUAGGCACAUCAUUUUCAAGCUAUGGAAAUUGAAAGAAAAAGAAAAAUUUCUGAAACAAGCCAGAGGAAAAAAACCCUUUACACAUAGAGGAAAAAGACAAGAAUUACAUUCAACUUCUCCUCAUAAACUCUACAAGGGAGAAGAGAGUAGAGUAAAAUAUUUAAAUUUUUCAGAGAAAAAAGAAAAAAAAACACUAACCCAGUAUUCUGUACCCAGUGAAAUCAUCCUUAAAAAUCAAGGAAAAAUAAAGACUUCUUCAGACAAAGAAAAAAAUGUGAUGUUUUCCCACCAAUUAUUUUAGAUAGUCACAAAUGGACACUAUUCCUUCAUAAAAGAGAUAUUAAGAUUGAGAAGGCAAUGAAAUACAUAAAACAAGAGUUAUGUCUUGGAAAGAACUUUCAGUGUCUUACUGGGACGUGAAUUUAAUAGGAAGAAAAUUGAAACCAGUCCUACUAAAUUUUUUAGGAAAUUGUAUUACAAAGAAACCAGGAGACUGGUUAUAAAAGACUUUAACAAUUGUUAAAACAAAUUUUAGCCUCUUGUACUUGCGCAAAUGGAAACACAUUAGACGGACUUCUGAAUAUUUUUCCCCUUGAAGGAGAGGGAGUGUGAAG
rnacentral:lncRNA from 1 species